UCAUCAGGUGGGAUAAUCUCUACCUGCUCCUCCUUUUGGAGAGCAUAUAGAACAUCAUGAUUGGAAUUUGCAUGAUACCUGAUUAGCAUCUCUGCAUAAUCAGGACUUGCAAAAAUCAAGUGCUAUGCAUAAGUU